UCGCUUGUUGGUGAGGUAAUGGCUCACCAAGGCGACGACGGGUAGCCGGCCUGAGAGGGCGACCGGCCACACUGGGACUGAGACACGGCCCAGACUCCUACGGGAGGCAGCAGUGGGGAAUAUUGCACAAUGGGCGAAAGCCUGAUGCAGCGACGCCGCGUGAGGGAUGACGGCCUUCGGGUUGUAAACCUCUUUCAGCAGGGAAGAAGCGAAAGUGACGGUACCUGCAGAAGAAGCGCCGGCUAACUACGUGCCAGCAGCCGCGGUAAUACGUAGGGCGCGGAGCGUUGUCCGGAAUUAUUGGGCGUAAAGAGCUCGUAGGCGGCUUGUCGCGUCGGUUGUGAAAGCCCGGGGCUUAACCCCGGGUCUGCAGUCGAUACGGGCAGGCUAGAGUUCGGUAGGGGAGAUCGGAAUUCCUGGUGUAGCGGUGAAAUGCGCAGAUAUCAGGAGGAACACCGGUGGCGAAGGCGGAUCUCUGGGCCGAUACUGACGCUGAGGAGCGAAAGCGUGGGGAGCGAACAGGAUUAGAUACCCUGGUAGUCCACGCCGUAAACGGUGGGCACUAGGUGUGGGCGACAUUCCACGUCGUCCGUGCCGCAGCUAACGCAUUAAGUGCCCCCGCCUGGGGAGUACGGCCCGCAAGGCUAAAACUUCAAAGGAAUUUGACGGGGGCCCGC
rnacentral:rRNA from 1 species